rnacentral:lncRNA from 1 species
GACGAUCUAGAAAAUGCAGGAAGUUGACAGACAUAAUCCUUAAGACAAGAGGGAGGAUUAUGCUGUCUACCAGAUCUUCUGGGAGCAGAAACAGAUGAAGAAGAAGGCAAAGGAGGAGGAGAGAUAUCAGGAUUGAAGGGAGGAAUGGAAGCUGGAACACAAGAAGGAGAAGAAGGAGAAGAAGGGGCAGAAGGAGGAGAAGGAGAGGGACAAACAGGCAUCAACAAGUCAGUGUCAGAGAAGGAAGGCUCAAGAGAAGGGACUGAGGGAAAGGAGGAAGGAACAG